rnacentral:tRNA from 1 species
GGGGAUUUAGCUCAGUGGCAUAAGCACCUGCCUUGCAAGCAGGAGGUCCUGAGUUCAAUCCUUG